UGGGGAAUAUUGGGAAAUGGGCGCAAGCCUGACCCAGCAACGCCGCGUGAGGGAAGAAGGCCUUCGGGUUGUAAACCUCUGUCCUUGGGGACGAAAAAAAUGACGGUACCCAAGGAGGAAGCUCCGGCUAACUACGUGCCAGCAGCCGCGGUAAUACGUAGGGAGCGAGCGUUGUCCGGAAUUACUGGGCGUAAAGGGUGCGUAGGCGGCUUGGCAAGUCAGAUGUGAAAUCCCCGGGCUUAACUCGGGUGCUGCAUUUGAAACUGCUGAGCUUGAGUGCAGGAGAGGAAAGCGGAAUUCCUAGUGUAGCGGUGAAAUGCGUAGAUAUUAGGAGGAACACCAGUGGCGAAGGCGGCUUUCUGGACUGUUACUGACACUGAGGCACGAAAGCGUGGGGAGCAAACA
rnacentral:rRNA from 1 species